rnacentral:lncRNA from 1 species
AAAAACAGUCCUUCAACCAUUUCCAUUUCAAAUCAGCCUACUUAAAACAUGCGGUUAUUUGAAACUUUAAUUUAAAGACUACUUUCAUAAUAAACCACUAUUAAAUUAUCUAAUACAUCAAUAAGCUUUUUAUGUAAACAGAGUCUAGUUUUUAUUUCCCUUUUUGUUUCCAAAAGCUGGCAAUGCUAUUCAAUUCCAUGAAGCAUCACAGAAGCCAAAAGAAAGAGAAAAGGCAGUGCCCAGGGUACUGAGAGCAAGUGCUCCAUGUCCUCUCCCAGGGCACUGAGAGCAAGUGUUCCAUUUCCUCUCCCAGGGUACUGAGAGCAAGCUACUCCAUGUCCUCUCCCAGGGUACUGAGAGCAAGCUACUCCAUGUCCUCUCCCAGGGUACUGAGAGCAAGCUACUCCAUGUCCUCUCCCAGGGUACUGAGAGCAAGCCCUACUCCAUGUCCUCUCCCAGGGUACUGAGAGCAAGCCCUACUCCAUGUCCUC